rnacentral:rRNA from 1 species
UUGGAGGGCAAGUCUGGUGCCAGCAGCCGCGGUAAUUCCAGCUCCAAUAGCGUAUAUUAAAGUUGUUGCAGUUAAAAAGCUCGUAGUUGAAUUUCGAGACCGGCUUAUUGGUCGUGCUAUUGUACGUACUGGUAUAAUCGGUUUCUCCUUUCUGACGAACUUUAAUGCCAUUAAUUUGGUGUUUUAGGGAAUCAGGACUGUUACUUUGAAAAAAUUAGAGUGUUUAAAGCAGGCUCACGCUUGAAUACAUUAGCAUGGAAUAACGGAAUAGGACGUUUGAUUCUAUUUUGUUGGUUUCUAGGAUCGACGUAAUGAUUAAUAGGGAUAGUUGGGGGCAUUAGUAUUCAAUUGUCAGAGGUGAAAUUCUUGGAUUUAUUGAAGACUAACUACUGCGAAAGCAUUUGCCAAGGAUGUUUUCAUUAAUCAAGAACGAAAGUUAGGGGAUCGAAGACGAUCAGAUACCGUCGUAGUCUUAACCAUAAACUAUGCCGACUAGGGAUCGGAUGAUGUUAAUUUCUUAAUGACUCAUUCGGCGCCUUACGGGAAAC